GACGAACGCUGGCGGCGUGCUUAACACAUGCAAGUCGAACGGAAAGGCCCUGCUUUUGUGGGGUGCUCGAGUGGCGAACGGGUGAGUAACACGUGAGUAACCUGCCCUUGACUUUGGGAUAACUUCAGGAAACUGGGGCUAAUACCGGAUAGGAGCUCCUGCUGCAUGGUGGGGGUUGGAAAGUUUCGGCGGUUGGGGAUGGACUCGCGGCUUAUCAGCUUGUUGGUGGGGUAGUGGCUUACCAAGGCUUUGACGGGUAGCCGGCCUGAGAGGGUGACCGGCGACAUUGGGACUGAGAGACGGCCCAGACUCCUACGGGAGGCAGCAGUGGGGAAUAUUGCACAAUGGGCGGAAGCCUGAUGCAGCAACGCCGCGUGCGGGAUGACGGCCUUCGGGUUGUAAACCGCUUUCGCCGGUGACGAAGCGUGAGUGACGGUAAUGGGUAAAGAAGCACCGGCUAACUACGUG
rnacentral:rRNA from 1 species